AUAUGAUACUGGGCCUUAUGUAUAUAAAGACGUCAGCGGAUUUCCAAUUGGAUUCAUUCACGACUUAAUAGACGCAGGUAAUCUAAAUUUCCUUUUGAACAUUUUGUUUGGUUCGUUUUCUGUUCGUGUUUGAAAACAAUAACAAUGCUAAAAUAUCAACUUGGAAAUACUGUCUCAUUUAUUCAUUUAUUCUUUAUUGAGUCUGCCUGGAGGCGGAUAUGGAUUGUAGGACGGUCACGGACCAAUCCACCAAUUGUAUGAUCUCGGAGAGAGGGCAGCCGAUGCGCGGGGGGCAAGGACUUAUGGAAGGUUGGUACGACGCCUGCACCGGAUGGCUGGCCACACGUCAACGGAAGCAGAUUUUCGAAUUUUCCAAGCCGUUUCUGAAACCUCUUGAG